rnacentral:rRNA from 1 species
UAGGGAAUCUUCCACAAUGGACGCAAGUCUGAUGGAGCAACGCCGCGUGAGUGAAGAAGGUUUUCGGAUCGUAAAGCUCUGUUGUUGGUGAAGAAGGAUAGAGGUAGUAACUGGCCUUUAUUUGACGGUAAUCAACCAGAAAGUCACGGCUAACUACGUGCCAGCAGCCGCAGUAAUACGUAGGUGGCAAGCGUUGUCCGGAUUUAUUGGGCGUAAAGCGAGCGCAGGCGGAAGAAUAAGUCUGAUGUGAAAGCCCUCGGCUUAACCGAGGAACUGCAUCGGAAACUGUUUUUCUUGAGUGCAGAAGAGGAGAGUGGAAUUCCAUGUGUAGCGGUGGAAUGCGUAGAUAUAUGGAAGAACACCAGUGGCGAAGGCGACUCUCUGGUCUGCAACUGACGCUGAGGCUCGAAAGCAUGGGUAGCGAACAGG